GCUACCAUGUUUGUUUUUGGUGAGUACAAGACCAUUGUUCUCAAAGUUUACCUACUGAAAAGAGGUUUCUAUCAGUGGUAGCAAACCCUGUUAACCUUGUUUCUGUUAUAGGAAACUUGGUGGCGGCUCAAGUUGCGACAGAAAUCGGUUGGAGCGAGUUUGCGAUUUCAAUGUUUUCACUAGGAAUGGUACAUUAUUUGCAUGCCAGGACUGUUCAAGAAAACUAUAAAAAGGUUAAACAUUACAUGGUGGAUCUACUCAUUCCCUUUAACAUUCCUUGGUCUAGCUUGUGCUGAAUAUGCUCAUGAAGUGAAAACAAGCAUGGCCUCUGGUUUAAUGCUGUUGAUAUGUAUUGUGUCUGUUUUGGUUUUUGUUUUUCUCAUGCUAACUAAUGUUGAAUAUGAUAAUGCUGAAGUUCUAUCUAAUUACACAGAAAGCUGCAAUAAAGAAGAUGGACAUGAGAGCAUCAAAAGAAUUUUUUGCCGAGCUUAAGGUGUUAACGCGUGUUCAUCACUUGAACUUGGUAAGGUUGAUUGGAUAUUGCAUUGAAGGUUGAUUGGAUAUUGCAUUGCCGGAAUGGACUUGUCUCUUACAAUAUUGAAAAAUGCACACACUGCUAGAGAACUAAAAUGCACGCCAAAAUUGGACUAUACUUUUGAAUUAGUAACUCCUGCAACUGCACAGCCUUGGUUUUUCACAAGUCUCACCGAUGUAUUGGACGUUGAUUCACAUGUAAUCUUUUCCAUCGAUCUUUUGUAUUUA